rnacentral:lncRNA from 1 species
GGGGGGUUAUUUAAGCAUGAGUAGUUAUUUUCUGUCACCACUCAUGUUUAAACAUUUUGGUGCUUUUUUUAAAAAAGUUAAUUUCACAAGACAUGAAAAAAUAACUUUAUUUAAAAUUUAUUAACGUUAAAUUAAAUUAUCAACUACUAUGAAGGUUUAAUGGUAAUAUUAAAUUUUUAAAAUUACUUUUCAAGUCAAGUCUCCAAGGGAGGGAG